rnacentral:rRNA from 1 species
UGGGGAAUAUUGCGCAAUGGGCGAAAGCCUGAUGCAGCAACGCCGCGUGCGGGAAGAAGGCCCUAGGGUUGUAAACCGCUUUCAGCAGGGAAGAAAAUUGACGGUACCUGCAGAAGAAGGUGCGGCCAACUACGUGCCAGCAGCCGCGGUGACACGUAGGGUGCAAGCGUUGUCCGGAAUUAUUGGGCGUAAAGAGCUCGUAGGCGGUCCGUUGCGUCUGCCGUGAAAACCCGGAGCUCAACUCCGGGCCUGCGGUGGAUACGGGCGGACUAGAGUCCGGUAGGGGAGACUGGAAUUCCUGGUGUAGCGGUGGAAUGCGCAGAUAUCAGGAGGAACACCGGUGGCGAAGGCGGGUCUCUGGGCCGGAACUGACGCUGAGGAGCGAAAGCGUGGGGAGCGAACAGGAUUAGAUACCCUGGUAGUCCACGCCGUAAACGGUGGGCGC